rnacentral:rRNA from 1 species
AUUGAACGCUGGCGGCAGGCCUAACACAUGCAAGUCGAGCGGAUGAAGAGAGCUUGCUCUCUGAUUUAGCGGCGGACGGGUGAGUAAUGCCUAGGAAUCUGCCUGGUAGUGGGGGACAACGUUUCGAAAGGAACGCUAAUACUGCAUACGUCCUACGGGAGAAAGCAGGGGACCUUCGGGCCUUGCGCUAUCAGAUGAGCCUAGGUCGGAUUAGCUAGUAGGUGAGGUAAAGGCUCACCUAGGCGACGAUCCGUAACUGGUCUGAGAGGAUGAUCAGUCACACUGGAACUGAGACACGGUCCAGACUCCUACGGGAGGCAGCAGUGGGGAAUAUUGGACAAUGGGCGAAAGCCUGAUCCAGCCAUGCCGCGUGUGUGAAGAAGGUCUUCGGAUUGUAAAGCACUUUAAGUUGGGAGGAAGGGCAGUAAGUUAAUACCUUGCUGUUUUGACGUUACCAACAGAAUAAGCACCGGCUAACUUCGUGCCAGCAGCCGCCGUAACAC